UACGAAGGGGGCUAGCGUUGCUCGGAAUCACUGGGCGUAAAGCGCACGUAGGCGGCUUUCUAAGUCAGGGGUGAAAUCCUGGAGCUCAACUCCAGAACUGCCUUUGAUACUGGAGAGCUUGAGUCCGGGAGAGGUGAGUGGAACUCCGAGUGUAGAGGUGAAAUUCGUAGAUAUUACGGAAGAACACCAGUGGCGAAGGCGGACUCACUGGCCCGGUACUGACGCUGAGGUGCGGAAAGCGUGGGGAGCAAACA
rnacentral:rRNA from 1 species